rnacentral:lncRNA from 1 species
CACUCUCAUCUACAUUUUCUGGGGACUUCUGAAAAAAGAAGAUUUCCUUCUAGUCUGUGAUUCGAACAUUUAAAAAAACGUGUCAUCACAAAUGACAAAUCAUGCAAAAUGGAUGAAACGAAUAUUUUUCUUUGAAUGACUUAAUUAAACUUAAGUUUGUGUUAUUCGUUGUAUUCAAUUGCUCGGUAUGUUAAUUUUACUUACAAAUAAUACAGACGGUGACAGGCUCU